rnacentral:rRNA from 1 species
GAUGAACGCUGGCGGCGUGCCUAAUACAUGCAAGUCGAGCGAACAGAUGAGAAGCUUGCUCCUCUGACGUUAGCGGCGGACGGGUGAGUAACACGUGGAUAACCUACCUAUAAGACUGGGAUAACUUCGGGAAACCGGAGCUAAUACCGGAUGAUAUAUUGAACCGCAUGGUUCAAUAGUGAAAGACGGUCUUGCUGUCACUUAUAGAUGGAUCCGCGCCGCAUUAGCUAGUUGGUAAGGUAACGGCUUACCAAGGCAACGAUGCGUAGCCGACCUGAGAGGGUGAUCGGCCACACUAGAACUGAGACACGGUCCAGACUCCUACGGGAGGCAGCAGUAGGGAAUCUUCCGCAAUGGGCGAAAGCCUGACGGAGCAACGCCGCGUGAGUGAUGAAGGUCUUCGGAUCGUAAAACUCUGUUAUUAGGGAAGAACAAAUGUGUAAGUAACUAUGCACGUCUUGACGGUACCUAAUCAGAAAGCCACGGCUAACUACGUG